AGCUAACAUGCAGACAUGAAAAUCACUCACCUUUCGGCGAAAUUCGCCGUUUCGAAACCAAAAUAGGUGACCUACGUGAAUCGUGUAGAUUCGAUGAGAAAAUGUUUAAGGGGGGGGGGGGGGUUAAGUACUCGGGCCUGGUGCCUGAUUUCUGGCAUAUGACUAUUUUAGAAAAAUAAAUAAAUUUAAAAAGUCCACAUGGGAUCUGUUUUUGAUGCGCUGGAUUUAACCAAUCAUCGAACUUCCACCUACCAAUGAAACUAGUUCUAGCCAAUCUGAUGCAAAGUAGGGCGGGUCUAUGCCGAAAUGUGAGAGUGCGGCGCCGGUGUGGUCUCCGUGGUAACGCGGCUAAAAAAAAUGGAGACGAAGUUUAUUAAACUUGGAGCAUGUAGAUACAGCUUUAGUUGAGAAAGGAGUUAAAACAAAUGGCGCUGGGCAUGAAUAGAGGACAAGAGGAGACGGGUGGAGACGGGAAGCUGUUCAGCAAGGUGUCUCAGAUUGAGGGAAAUCAAGGAAGACACUGUACGACAGCAGCGUGAGGGGACCAACAGGGAGGACCAGGAUGAAGGCAUGGACGCCCUCAGGAUCACAGAGGGAGAUACACCUGAAUGAUUCCUCCAUCACUGCCUCCUGACCUUCUCCAUACAAGGCAGGCAGCUCCACCAGGGAAACCCAACGUCCACACACCUCUCCCUGAUGUUUAACACACUCUGAUGAGUUGGAGACUGAAUGAAGCUCUGUCUGACCUAAAAUAGCCUUGGCUGCUGAAGUCUUCUCUGCUCCUCUCCUCCCACACAGAACCAGGUUUAAAGCUGGUCUGAUGUAU